rnacentral:rRNA from 1 species
GAUGAACGCUGGCGGCGUGCCUAAUACAUGCAAGUCGAGCGAACGGACGAGAAGCUUGCUUCUCUGAUGUUAGCGGCGGACGGGUGAGUAACACGUGGAUAACCUACCUAUAAGACUGGGAUAACUUCGGGAAACCGUAGCUAAUACCGGAUAAUAUUUUGAACCGCUUGGUUCAAAAGUGAAAGACGGUCUUGCUGUCACUUAUAGAUGGAUCCGCGCUGCAUUAGCUAGUUGGUAAGGUAACGGCUUACCAAGGCAACGAUGCAUAGCCGACCUGAGAGGGUGAUCGGCCACACUGGAACUGAGACACGGUCCAGACUCCUACGGGAGGCAGCAGUAGGGAAUCUUCCGCAAUGGGCGAAAGCCUGAUGGAGCAACGCCGCGUGAGUGAUGAAGGUCUUCGGAUCGUAAAACUCUGUUAUUAGGGAAGAACAUAUGUGUAAGUAACUGUGCACAUCUUGACGGUACCUAAUCAGAAAGCCACGGCUAACUACGUG